rnacentral:rRNA from 1 species
CCGCGACCUCAGGUCAGGCGGGACUACCCGCUGAGUUUAA